UACGAAGGGGGCUAGCGUUGCUCGGAAUUACUGGGCGUAAAGCGCACGUAGGCGGAUUGUUAAGUCGGGGGUGAAAUCCUGGAGCUCAACCCCAGAACUGCCUUCGAAACUGGCGAUCUUGAGUUCGGGAGAGGUGAGUGGAACUGCGAGUGUAGAGGUGAAAUUCGUAGAUAUUCGCAAGAACACCAGUGGCGAAGGCGGCUCACUGGCCCGAUACUGACGCUGAGGUGCGAAAGCGUGGGGAGCAAACAGG
rnacentral:rRNA from 1 species